rnacentral:sRNA from 1 species
ACGCUGUACCGGAAGGAGAUCAAGCCACCGUUCAAACCAGCAGUGGGCAGGCCUGAGGACACCUUCCACUUUGACCCCGAGUUCACAGCACGGACGCCCACAGACUCUCCUGGCGUCCCCCCGAGUGCAAAUGCUCAUCACCUGUUUAGAGGAUUCAGCUUUGUGGCCUCAAGCCUGAUCCAGGAGCCCUCACAGCAAGAUCUGCACAAAGUCCCAGUUCACCCAAUCGUGCAGCAGUUACACGGGAACAACAUCCACUUCACCGAUGGCUACGAGAUCAAGGAGGACAUCGGGGUGGGCUCCUACUCAGUGUGCAAGCGAUGUGUGCAUAAAGCCACGGACACCGAGUAUGCCGUGAAGCCCCUCCCAGCAGGCAUGCGGCGGAGGACGGUCAUCAGCAAUAAGAUGUAGCAUGUGCCUCCUGCCCACUGCCGUGUCCCCGAGCCCAUCUCACAGGCUCCCACCCACCAGCCAAAACUUGGUUCUCAACUCUCCCACUGCAAACCUCUCCCCGGUCUUUCAACACGGGCUAGUUUCCUAUUGUUUAGGAAUGCAACACAUUACCCCACAUCUAGUGGCUUAAAACAACCUGAGCUUAUUGUCUUCCAGCUCUGGGGGUCAGAAUUCCAAAAUCUGUCUCACUGGGCUAAAGUCCAGUGUCCGCAAGGCUGGUUCCUUCCGCGGGCUCUGGGGGCUGAGAGUGGAUACACAGCAGAUGGUGGCCAGGCCGGGUGCCCAACAGAAGUCUGACCCGCACCUGCAGCCAGCCCCUUUAUCUACAAUACAUAGCUCGGGAGGCCAGCAGCUGUGUCAGGCU